AGUAAUACAUCGGAACGUGCCCUGUAGUGGGGGAUAACUAGUCGAAAGAUUAGCUAAUACCGCAUACGACCUGAGGGUGAAAGUGGGGGACCGCAAGGCCUCAUGCUAUAGGAGCGGCCGAUGUCUGAUUAGCUAGUUGGUGGGGUAAAGGCCUACCAAGGCGACGAUCAGUAGCUGGUCUGAGAGGACGAUCAGCCACACUGGGACUGAGACACGGCCCAGACUCCUACGGGAGGCAGCAGUGGGGAAUUUUGGACAAUGGGCGAAAGCCUGAUCCAGCAAUGCCGCGUGUGUGAAGAAGGCCUUCGGGUUGUAAAGCACUUUUGUCCGGAAAGAAAUGGCUCUGGUUAAUACCUGGGGUCGAUGACGGUACCGGAAGAAUAAGGACCGGCUAACUACGUGCCAGCAGCCGCGGUAAUACGUAGGGUCCAAGCGUUAAUCGGAAUUACUGGGCGUAAAGCGUGCGCAGGCGGUUGUGCAAGACCGAUGUGAAAUCCCCGAGCUUAACUUGGGAAUUGCAUUGGUGACUGC
rnacentral:rRNA from 1 species